ensembl:misc_RNA Metazoa_SRP Metazoan signal recognition particle RNA
GCUGGGCAUGCUGGCGUAUGCCUGUAAUCCCAGCUACUCGGGAGGCUGAGGCAGGAGAAUUGCUUGAGCCCAGGAGGUAGAGAUUGCAGUAAGCCGAGAUCAUGGCACUGCACUCCAGCCUGAGCAACAGAGCGAGACUCUGUCUCAU